rnacentral:rRNA from 1 species
GAUGAACGCUGGCGGCGUGCCUAAUACAUGCAAGUCGAGCGAACAGACGAGGAGCUUGCUCCUCUGAUGUUAGCGGCGGACGGGUGAGUAACACGUGGAUAACCUACCUAUAAGACUGGGAUAACUUCGGGAAACCGGAGCUAAUACCGGAUAACAUGUUGAACCGCAUGGUUCAACAGUGAAAGACGGUCUUGCUGUCACUUAUAGAUGGAUCCGCGCCGCAUUAGCUAGUUGGUAAGGUAACGGCUUACCAAGGCAACGAUGCGUAGCCGACCUGAGAGGGUGAUCAGCCACACUGGAACUGAGACACGGUCCAGACUCCUACGGGAGGCAGCAGUAGGGAAUCUUCCGCAAAGGGCGAAAGCCUGACGGAGCAACGCCGCGUGAGUGAAGAAGGUCUUCGGAUCGUAAAACUCUGUUAUUAGGGAAGAACAAAUGUGUAAGUAACUAUGCACGUCUUGACGGUACCUAAUCAGAAAGCCACGGCUAACUACGUG